rnacentral:rRNA from 1 species
ACGCGGGCUGGGUUCAGAACGUCGGGAGGCAGUUCGGUCCCGAUCCAGCGCAGGCGUAGGAAAGUUGAGAUGGCCUAUCCUUAGUACGCGAGGACCGGGAUGGACGAACCUCUGGUGUACCAGUUGUUCUGCCAAGGGCAUGGCUGGGUGGAUAUGUACGGAAUGGAUAAGGGCUGAAAGCAUCUAAGCGCGAAGCCAAC